UCAGCUGAGCUCACCUCUCCUUUUCAGCCCUACAGCAUUAAUGGUUCCCAUAAUUUAAGCAGGGAAAUGUUGGUGGACACCCACGUAGGAAGUCCUCGUGGAGUAUCAUUUGCCUGUGGAGACAAGGAAAUAAAGGUGUCCAAGUGGGAAGAAAAUCUUCCACAUCAUCUGGUCCAAUCCCCUCAUUUCCCAGGGUGUGCACCUCGAAGUGGAAUUGCUGGAUCAUGAGUUUCUCCAACACUGUUUGUUGAAAGUGGAAGUCGCUCAGUCGUGUCCCACUCUUUGCAACCCCAUGGAAUUCUCCAGGCCAGAAUACUGAAGUGGGUAGCCAUUCUCUUCGCCGGGGCAUCUUCCCAAUCCAGGGAUGGAACAGAGGUCUCCAGGACUGCAAGCGGAUUUUUUACUAGCUGGGACAAAGACUGUGCUUUUUCCCUUGAACAGUAUUGGCACCUUGUUGAAAAUCAUUUGACUACAUAUGAGAGGGUCUAUUUCUGUGCUCUUUAUUUUAUUCCAUUGAUCUAUAUGUUAGUCUUUAUGCCAGUACCACACUAUGUUGAUUGCUAUAGCUUUGUAAUAAGUUUUGAAAUCAGGAGGUGGUAAGUCUUUUAACUUUGUUUUAACUAUUUGGGGGUUAUUUGAGGCCCCUGGAGAUUUCUUAUGUAUUUUAGGAUGAGUAUUUUUUUAUUUCUGCAGAAAAAAAUGUUGUUGGGAUUUUGAU
ensembl:lncRNA